rnacentral:rRNA from 1 species
AAUAGAUACCCCGGUAGUCCACGCCGUAAACGAUGAGUACUAGGUGUCGGGGGUAUCGACCCCCUCGGUGCCGUCGCUAACGCAUUAAGUACUCCGCCUGGGGGACUACGGCCGCAAGGCUAAAACUCAAAGGAAUUGACGGGGGGCCCGCACAAGCAGCGGAGCGUGUGGUUUAAUUCGAUGCAACGCGAAGAACCUUACCUGGGCUUGACAUAGAGGUGGUAGGGAUCCGAAAGGUGACCGACCCGCAAGGGAGCCUUUACAGGUGCUGCAUGGCUGUCGUCAGCUCGUGCCGUGAGGUGUUGGGUUAAGUCCCGCAACGAGCGCAACCCUCGUCGCUAGUUACCAUGUCUAGCGAGACUGCCGGGUCUAACUCGGAGGAAGGCGGGGAUGACGGUCAAGGUCAGGCAUGGCCCUUACGUCCAGGGGCUACACACACGCUACAAUGGCCGGUACAAAGCGCCGCAAUGGGGUGACCCGGAGCAAAUCGCAUCAAAGCCGGUCUCAGUUGGGAUUGCAGGCUGCAACUCGCCUGCAUGAACGCGGU